CUAAAGUCAGUAACACGAUGCCCUUCUGUUAGAAAACGCGAUGUUAAUGUUCUGUUUCCUGUUCAGAGAGCAGAAAGGUACAUUGAGUGGGCGCCAUGAUCCAAGGAAUCGUGCAUGUACAAAGGUCGGCAAACAGGAAAGCAGUCGUCCCAGUGGAUUCUACGUUCCAGAGGACCGAGGCUGACAUCAUAGCUCCUGCCACAUUAGCUGACCCGUCUUGUUCACUCCAGACGGGCAUCGUUUUCACCUGGCCCCCGGACGCUGCCUUGGCUCUAGUUUCUCUUCAUACGCUCCUCCCUCCUCACAGCCUUUCCUUCCGCCCACCCCCUCCGC